rnacentral:rRNA from 1 species
AGAGUUUGAUCCUGGCUCGGGACGAACGCUGGCGGCACGCUUAACACAUGCAAGUCGAACGAGAGAAGAGGAGCUUGCUUUUCUGAUCUAGUGGCGGACGGGUGAGUAACACGUGAGCAAUCUGCCUUUCAGAGGGGGAUACCGAUUGGAAACGAUCGUUAAUACCGCAUAACAUAAUUGAACCGCAUGAUUUGAUUAUCAAAGAUUUAUCGCUGAAAGAUGAGCUCGCGUCUGAUUAGCUAGUUGGUAAGGUAACGGCUUACCAAGGCGACGAUCAGUAGCCGGACUGAGAGGUUGAUCGGCCACAUUGGGACUGAGACACGGCCCAGACUCCUACGGGAGGCAGCAGUGGGGAAUAUUGCACAAUGGAGGAAACUCUGAUGCAGCGAUGCCGCGUGAGGGAAGAAGGUUUUAGGAUUGUAAACCUCUGUCUUCAGGGACGAAAAAAGACGGUACCUGAGGAGGAAGCUCCGGCUAACUACGUGCCAGCAGCCGCGGUAAUACGUAGGGAGCGAGCGUUGUCCGGAAUUACUGGGUGUAAAGGGAGCGUAGGCGGGAUCGCAAGUCAGAUGUGAAAACUAUGGGCUUAACCCAUAAACUGCAUUUGAAACUGUGGUUCUUGAGUGAAGUAGAGGUAAGCGGAAUUCCUAGUGUAGCGGUGAAAUGCGUAGAUAUUAGGAGGAACAUCAGUGGCGAAGGCGGCUUACUGGGCUUUAACUGACGCUGAGGAUCGAAAGCGUGGGGAGCAAACAGGAUUAGAUACCCUGGUAGUCCACGCCGUAAACGAUGAUUACUAGGUGUGGGGGGACUGACCCCUUCCGUGCCGCAGCAAACGCAAUAAGUAAUCCACCUGGGGAGUACGACCGCAAGGUUGAAACUCAAAGGAAUUGACGGGGGCCCGCACAAGCAGUGGAGUAUGUGGAUUAAUUCGAAGCAACGCGAAGAACCUUACCAGGUCUUGACAUCGUAUGCAUAGCUCAGAGAUGAGUGAAAUCUCUUCGGAGACAUAUAGACAGGUGGUGCAUGGUUGUCGUCAGCUCGUGUCGUGAGAUGUUGGGUUAAGUCCCGCAACGAGCGCAACCCUUACUGUUAGUUGCUACGCAAGAGCACUCUAGCAGGACUGCCGUUGACAAAACGGAGGAAGGUGGGGAUGACGUCAAAUCAUCAUGCCCCUUAUGACCUGGGCCUCACACGUACUACAAUGGCUGUCAACAGAGGGAAGCAAAGCCGCGAGGUGGAGCGAACCCCUAAAAGCAGUCUUAGUUCGGAUUGUAGGCUGCAACCCGCCUACAUGAAGUCGGAAUUGCUAGUAAUCGCAGAUCAGCAUGCUGCGGUGAAUACGUUCCCGGGCCUUGUACACACCGCCCGUCACGCCAUGGGAGUCGGUAACACCCGAAGCCUGUAGUCUAACCGCAAGGAGGACGCAGUCGAAGGUGGGAUUGAUGACUGGGGUGAAGUCGUAACAAGGUA